AUUGAACGCUGGCGGCAUGCCUUACACAUGCAAGUCGAACGGCAGCACGGGGGGUAACCCCUGGUGGCGAGUGGCGAACGGGUGAGUAAUAUAUCGGAACGUGUCCUGUAGCGGGGGAUAACCUAUCGAAAGAUGGACUAAUACCGCAUACGACCUACGGGUGAAAGCGGAGGACCGCAAGGCUUCGCACUAUAGGAACGGCCGAUGUCGGAUUAGCUAGUUGGCGGGGUAACGGCCCACCAAGGCGACGAUCCGUAGCUGGUCUGAGAGGAGGAUCAGCCACACUGGAACUGAGACACGGUCCAGACUCCUACGGGAGGCAGCAGUGGGGAAUUUUGGACAAUGGGCGCAAGCCUGAUCCAGCCAUGCCGCGUGAGUGAAGAAGGCCUUCGGGUUGUAAAGCUCUUUCGGCGGGGACGAAACGGUUCGUGCUAAUACCACGGACUACUGACGGUACCCGCAGAAGAAGCACCGGCUAACUACGUG
rnacentral:rRNA from 1 species